GAUGAACGCUGGCGGCGUGCCUAAUACAUGCCAGUAGAACGCUGAAGGAAGGAGCUUGCUCUUUCCGGAUGAGUUGCGAACGGGUGAGUAACGCGUAGGUAACCUGCCUGGUAGCGGGGGAUAACUAUUGGAAACGAUAGCUAAUGCCGCAUAACAGUAGAUGUUGCAUGAUAUCUACUUAAAAGGUGCAAUUGCACCACUACCAGAUGGACCUGCGUUGUAUUAGCUAGUUGGUGAGGUAACGGCUCACCAAGGCGACGAUACAUAGCCGACCUGAGAGGGUGAUCGGCCACACUGGGACUGAGACACGGCCCAGACUCCUACGGGAGGCAGCAGUAGGGAAUCUUCGGCAAUGGACGGAAGUCUGACCGAGCAACGCCGCGUGAGUGAAGAAGGGUUUCGGAUCGUAAAGCUCUGUUGUAAGAGAAGAACGAGUGUGAGAGUGGAAAGUUCACACUGUGACGGUAUCUUACCAGAAAGGGACGGCUAACUACGUG
rnacentral:rRNA from 1 species